UACGAAGGGGGCUAGCGUUGCUCGGAAUCACUGGGCGUAAAGCGCACGUAGGCGGCUUUCUAAGUCAGGGGUGAAAUCCUGGAGCUCAACUCCGGAACUGCCUUUGAUACUGGAGAGCUUGAGUCCGGAAGAGGUGAGUGGAACUCCGAGUGUAGAGGUGAAAUUCGUAGAUAUUCGGAAGAACACCAGUGGCGAAGGCGACUACCUGGCCUGUUCUUGACGCUGAGGCGCGAAAGCUAGGGGAGCAAACGGG
rnacentral:rRNA from 1 species